ACUCAAAGGAAUUGACGGGGACCCGCACAAGCAGUGGAGUAUGUGGUUUAAUUCGACGCAACGCGAAGAACCUUACCAGGACUUGACAUCCACGGGAUCUGUGUGAAAGCACGGAGUGUCCUUCGGGAAGCCGUGAGACAGGUGGUGCAUGGUUGUCGUCAGCUCGUGUCGUGAGAUGUUGGGUUAAGUCCCGCAACGAGCGCAACCCUUGCUUUCAGUUACUACGCGAAGAGGACUCUGGAGGGACUGCCGUUGAUAAAACGGAGGAAGGUGGGGACGACGUCAAAUCAUCAUGCCCUUUAUGUUCUGGGCUACACACGUACUACAAUGGCCGCAACAACGGGAAGCGAAGCUGCGAAGCGGAGCGAAGCCCUGAAAAGCGGUCUCAGUUCGGAUUGCAGGCUGCAACUCGCCUGCAUGAAGUCGGAAUUGCUAGUAAUCGCGGAUCAUCAUGCCGCGGUGAAUACGUUCCCGGGUCUUGUACACACCGCCCGU
rnacentral:rRNA from 1 species